CAGAUGAGGUAAUUGCUGAGGUAAUGCUAAGCUGCUAAUAAGCUUAAGGGGACUUUUAUAGGACAUGGAGGCUUUGUGCAGAGACAAUGACCCAACCCACCUCCAGGCUGUGUAAGGGCUAUUUUACCAAGAAGGAGAGUGAUGGAGUGCUGCAUCAGAGGACCUGUCCUCCAAUAUCACCCAAACUCUACCCAGUUGAGAUGGUUUGGGAUGAGUUGGACCGCAGAAUGAAGGAAAAGCAUUCAACAAGUGCUCAGCAUAUGUGAGAACCCCUUCAAUUGUUGGAAAAGCAUUCCAGGUGAAGCAGGUUGAGAGAAUGCCAAGAGUGUGCAAAGCUGUCAAGGCAAAGGGUGGCUACUUUGAAGAAUCUCAAAUAUAUUUUGAUGAACACUUUUUUGGGUUACUACAUGAUACCAUGUGUUAUUUCAUAGUUUGUGUCUUCACUAUUAUUCUACAAUGUAGAAAAUAGUAAAAUGAUAAAACCCUUGAGUAGGUGUGUCCAAACUUUUGACUGGUAAUAUGUGUGUAUAUAUAAAUAAAAACACUCCAGGAAGAGUAGCUUCUGCAACAGCUAAUGGGGAUCCUAAUAAAAUACCAAGGAUUCAGAGUCCACAAUGACACACACAGAAUACAUUGUACAAAUCCCCCUUCUUUUAAUUUCAUUAUAUAAAUACACAUUUACAGAUCAUUUUUGUCCAUGAGACAUGAUGAAUGAAUGACAAUGAAAACAUCAACAAAACUACAAUCAAUCAUUUCAGUGGCAGAGUCCUCAUACAUUACCCUGUGUCCUAGAAGAGAGAUGAGAUGGAGACAUCAUUGCCCCCUACACUCAGGGCAGACCGAUACACACUGCCUGUCUGCUACUGUAGACCAGCACCAUGGUGGCCUAGCCAUUUAGGACAGCCUGCCUGCCUGCUUACCUAUGUCAACCAGUUGCCCAGCCCCCAUGGGAGGACCAUGUUGGCUAGUCUAGGGUCCUCUCUUCCCAACUGUCAACUUUUUUUUAAAACUUUUUUUUUUUUUUAAACAGCUCUUUCGGUUUGACAUAAAUAAAAAAUAGACAAUGUACAUUAUGUAUAUGGGGUUGAUUCUUAAAACAUUUUCAAUUCAACAAAGAUUCUCAAAACAACCUUAUUACAAUGUUAUUUGCAUGUGACACACAUAGUGAUUAUUAUUUACAGCAGAUAAGGAUCACCAGAAUAAAUAAAAGGAUCACCAGAAUAAAUAAAAGGUAUCUCUCCUCUCUGAACCCUGGGGAUAGAUACUGCACUGUUAUGUUGAAAUGCAUCCGAUUUGCUA